rnacentral:misc_RNA from 1 species
AAACACCCUCAAUUCUCUCGUUUUUCGAGGAAAUUGGACUUGAGCGAUCCCAACGGCGGUUUAAAAACCCGCUGGCGGGUCGCUUGAAAUGCAGGUGCGGCUGGACACAUCUUCUGAGCUAUAAGCAUUACUUAUUUAGUCCCGUCAAACGGAUUAUUUCUAUUGCUGCAGCUAACAUAAAGGUUGAUUGUCCUGUGCCCGACUGAUGCAGGAAAACAAAGAGAAAUCUUUGUUCA